rnacentral:lncRNA from 1 species
AUGGCUGAGCCGACUAGUGAUUUCGCGACUCCUAUCGGGUGGCCUGCAUCUCCCGGGCUGACUCCCACGUUAGGGCCCCUGACCGACACUGCCCCGCCGCGGGACAGCUGGAUGUUCUGGGCAAUUCUGCCGCCACCGCCACCACCGCUUACGUCCUCGCUUCCCGCAGCCGGGUCAAAGCCUUCCUCUGAGUCGCAGCCCCCCAUAGAGGCCCAGUCUCUCCCCAGGGCUCCGCCCCUCUUUGACGCCCAGCUUCUUCCCGGGGCGCAACCCCCCUUCCACGCACAGUCCCCCCUUGAUUCUCAGCCUCAACCCAGCGGCCAGCCUUGGAAUUUCCAUGCUUCCACAUCGUGGUAUUGGAGACAGUCUUCUGAUAGGUUUCCUCGGCAUCAGAAGUCCUUCAACCCUUCAGUUAAAAAUUCUUAUUAUCCACGAAAGUAUGAUGCAAAAUUCACAGACUUCAGCUUACCUCCCAGUAGAAAACAGAAAAAAAAGAAAAGAAAGGAACCAGUUUUUCACUUUUUUUGUGAUACCUGUGAUCGUGGUUUUAAAAAUCGAGAAAAGUAUGACAAACACAUGUCUGAACAUACAAAAUGCCCUGAAGUAGAUUGCUCUUUUACUGCACACAAGAAGAUUGUCCAGUUCCAUUGGAGAAAUAUGCAUGCUCCUGGCAUGAAGAAGAUCAAGUUAGACACUCCAGAGGAAAUUGCACGGUGGAGGGGAGAAAGAAGGAAAAACUAGCCAACUCUGGCCAAUAUUGAAAGGAAGAAGAAGUUAAAACUUGAAAAGGAGAAGAGAUGAGCAGUACUGACAACAACACAAUAUGGCAAGAUGAAGGGGAUGUCCAGACAUUCACAAAUGGCAAAUAUCAGAAGUCCUGGCGAGAAUCAGAAAUGAAAAAACAAUUAUAGACAGAGAGCAGUCACUGGAUCAGGCAAUCACUUGUGUGAUUUGAAGCCAGAAGGUCCACCUGAGGCAAAUGCAGAUCCUCUUGGUGUUUUGAUAAACAGUGAUUCUGAGUCUGAUAAGGAGGCACAACAUUCUGUGAUACCCAAGGAAGUGACACCAGCCCUAUGCUCACUAAUGAGUAGCUAUGGCAGUCUUUCGGGGUCAGAGAGUGAGCCAGAAGAAACUCCCAUCAAGACUGAAGCAGACGUUUUGGCAGAAAACCAGGUUCUUGAUAGCAGUGCUUCUAAGAGUCCAAGUCAAGAUGUUAAAGCAACUGUUAGAAAUUUUUCAGAAGCCAAGAGUGAGAACCGAAAGAAAAGUUUUGAAAAGACAAACCCUAAGAGGAAAAAAGAUUAUCACAACUAUCAAACGUUAUUCGAACCAAGAACACACCAUCUAUAUCUCUUGGAAAUGCUUCUAGCUCCGGACAUUCGACAUGAAAGAAAUGUGAUUUUGCAGUGUGUUCGGUACAUCAUCAAAGAAGACUUUUUUGGACUGGAUACUAAUUCUGCGAAAAGUAAAGAUGUAUAG